GACUGGGAUUCACCCUGAACCAUGUUUAGGCAGCGUCUUUAUUUACAAUAUUCUGAAAAGUGAAAACAUACCUCUGUGUGUGGGGGGAGCACAACAGCACAACAGUAGCACAGGACCGGAGACAUUGUUAUAAUAGAUUAAUACUCUACGAAUGAUAGAGGACCAGACAACAGCCUCUUCAGUUCAACAGGAAGUCAAUUUAACAGCAUCAUCAGUAACAUCCAACUUAAAUAAACCACAGAACAAUCAAUCAAUCAAUAACGGAAACGCCUCUCCUUGUUCACAGUAAACACAGAGGGUCAUCUAACCCUCUGGUCAUCACCCCCCUCCCUCCCUAACCUCUGACCCCUAAUACCUGACUGUCUGGUCAAGAGGUGUGUCCAGAACAUUCUGACCUGAUCCAUGGGGGUCUCAACCUUCCCUUGUAGCAACAUUUAACUGUUAAGUCACAUUGUAAAUUUCAUAGUAACAUUUAUGUAUUGAUGUAACUUCAUGGUACCACUGUGUCCCUUCAGUUCCAUUGAAGCAUAGAAUAACUCCGUUACACUGCACACAUCUAAAAACACACAAAACAACCCCAGUGAAACCCAGUCUGCUUCUGAAAUGGCACCCUACCAGGGUCCGUAGGGCCACCGCCAUAGGGCUCUGGUUAAAAGUAGUGCACUAUAUAGGGAAUACGCCAUUUCAGAAGCAGUCCUAGUUGACCUAUACACUACUACCCUAGGCUGCUAUAGACACAAUCACAAGGUCAAACACGUUUUUACUAAUAAAAUACACAUCAAAUAGCUGCUAUUCAGGUAAAGAACAACAUAGGCUGAUAAUAAUAACAUCAUAGAGCUGCUAUUCAGGUAAAGAACAACAUGAGCUGAUAAUAAUAUAGAGCUGCUAUUCAUGUAGAGUACAACAUAGGCUGUAUUGACUAAACAUGAUAAUUUAGAAUCUUUACAGUAAGUUAACAAAAACGAUGGAGAGACGCACUCUUCCCUUCAGUAACAGAAAUAUUUGCCCCCCUCCUCCGGACCCUAUUCCCCC
ensembl:lncRNA